rnacentral:tRNA from 1 species
CAAAAGAUAAUUUAUUUAAAAUAUAAACUUUGGAAGUUUAAAAAAAACUUGUUUUCUUUUGA